AGUCAGGUGUCAAAGCCGUCAGCUUAACUGAGAAAUUGCGCCCGAUACUGUUCAGCUUGAGUGUGACAUACGUGAGCGGAACUUGCGGUGGAGCGGCUAAAUGCGUUGAUAUUGCAAGGAACACCAGUAGCGAAAGCGGCUCACGGGGUCUCUUCUGACGCUGAGGCCCGAAACCUAGGGUAGCGUAGAGGAUUAGAUACCCUCGUAGUCCUAGUUGUAAACGCUGAGCACUGGAUUGGAGGGUCCUCCAUAGCCUUCCGGUAGUUGCGAAAGUGUUAAGUGCUUCGCCUUCCGAGUAUGGUCGCCGGGCUCAAACUCAAAGGAAUUGACGUGCGGUCCCACAACCGGUGGAGGAUGUGGCUUAAUUUGAGGCUACGACGAAGAACCUUAUCCUGGAUUUGUCAUGCUUGUAGAAUCCCCUGGAAACAGAGGAGUGCCCUUCUCGGAGCCCUUGCACAGGUGCUGCAUGGCUGUCGUCAGCUCGUGUCGUGAGAUGUCGGGUUAAGUCCCUUAACGAGCGAAACCCUUGUCGUUUGUUGCCAGCGGGUCAUGCCGGGGACUCUAACGAGACUCCCGGUGUUAAACCGGAGGAAGGUGGGGAUGACGUCAAGUCCUCAUGUCCUUUAUAUCC
rnacentral:rRNA from 1 species